rnacentral:sRNA from 1 species
UCCAUUUAGAUUGUAUUCUUGCUGUGAGA